ensembl:snRNA U4 U4 spliceosomal RNA
AGUUUUGCGCAGCGGCAGUAUCAUAGCCAAUGAGGUUUAUCCAAGGUGCAAUUAUUGCUAAUUGAAAACAGUAAAUAUAGUGUUUGCUAGUGUGUAUUUGGCUUUUUCAAUGCAAUAAUGAGAAAAUGCUCUUACAU